UGUUCUGUGGCUUAGUUGGUUAAAGCGCCGGUCUAGCGAAUACGGAUUCGUGGGUUCGAAUCCAACCAGAACGC
rnacentral:tRNA from 1 species